rnacentral:rRNA from 1 species
UACGGAGGGGGCUAGCGUUGUUCGGAAUUACUGGGCGUAAAGCGCACGUAGGCGGCUUUGUAAGUUAGAGGUGAAAGCCCAGGGCUUAACUCUGGAAUUGCCUUUAAGACUGCAUCGCUAGAAUCGUGGAGAGGUGAGUGGAAUUCCCAGUGUAGAGGUGAAAUUCGUAGAUAUUGGGAAGAACACCGGUGGCGAAGGCGGCUCACUGGCUCAUUACUGACGCUCAGGCGCGAUAGCGUGGGGAUCAAACAGG